rnacentral:rRNA from 1 species
AGUGAACGCUGGCGGUAGGCCUAACACAUGCAAGUCGAACGGCAGCACAGUAAGAGCUUGCUCUUACGGGUGGCGAGUGUCGGACGGGUGAGGAAUACAUCGGAAUCUACUUUUUCGUGGGGGAUAACGUAGGGAAACUUACGCUAAUACCGCAUAUGACCUACGGGUGAAAGCAGGGGAUCUUCUGACCUUGCGCGAUUGAAUGAGCCGAUGUCGGAUUAGCUAGUUGGCGGGGUAAAGUCCCACCAAGGCGACGAUCCGUAGCUCGUCUGAGAGGAUGAUCCGCCACAAUGGAACCGAAAAACGGUCCAGAGCCCUACGGGAGGCAGCAGUGGGGAAUUGUGGCCAAUGGGCGGAAGCCUGAUCCAGGCAUACCGCGUGGGUGAAGAAGGCCUUCGGGUUGUAAAGACCUUUUGUUGGGAAAGAAAAGCAGCAGGUUGAUACCCCGCUGUUCUGACGGUACCCAAAGAAUAAGCACCGGCUAACUUCGUG